CUCCUCCAUGAACUAUCUUAACUUUAUAAUAAGGAUAAGGAGAUAGAAGUCAUUAAAAAGAAGAGCUUCGUUGUCACCAGCCCGCGGAUGUCCAUUCUGAUUCGGCGGAGAGCGAGACGAUGGGCUUUUUAACAAGUUUUAAUAACUCAGGCUUUUUAGUGAGAAUACUCACUCUGAUGCCUGGACACCUCCUGUCUUCAGCGUUACAGGCUUCUCAGAGAUCAAGGCGCCUUUCACAGACUUGACUGUUUCCUGGUGAGAUGAAAGAGGGCCCACCAGGGGCCGGCUGUGCCAGCCUCAUGUCCGAGACAAGACGCGCCUUUCAUCACGGGAGACAGGACACCAGCCGGGAUGGGAAUCGGCUAGAAAGUUUGAGAGGAAGAUUAGAUUUUGGAAGAGAAAGAUUAAUAACUUUCUUUUGCGGAGACAAGCGUGCGUUUGGGCCUGCAUGUGGGAUUCGGGCUACUCGGGAGCACGGCACCGAGGAGAGCGGCUUGUCUCCGCGUGCUCCGCGGGGAUGAUGCUUGGCAGACCCCUCUGGCCGUUUAGAGAGACAACCUGAAGUCCCUGUCCUCCUGAGCUGGUCUACUGCUGGGAAGCAGGUGUGGGGGCAGCAGGCCCCCCACCCGGACUCAGCCUGGUCUUGAUACAAACAGCCACAGACUUCACUGCGACACGUACCUUCUCCUUACCCAGAUCCCUAACA